rnacentral:rRNA from 1 species
GCCUAAAGCGUCCGUAGCCGGCUCUGUAAGUUUUCGGUUAAAUCCAUAUGCUCAACAUAUGGGCCGCCGGGAAUACUGCAGAGCUAGGAAGUGGGAGAGGUAGACGGUACUCCGUAGGAAGGGGUAAAAUCCUUUGAUCUAUGGAUGACCACCUGUGGCGAAGGCGGUCUACCAGAACACGUUCGACGGUGAGGGAUGAAAGCUGGGGGAGCAAACCGGAUUAGAUACCCGGGUAGUCCCAGCUGUAAACUAUGCAAACUCAGUGAUGCAUUGGCUUGUGGCCAGUGCAGUGCCGCAGAGAAGUCGUUAAGUUUGCCGCCUGGGAAGUACGUACGCAAGUAUGAAACUUAAAGGAAUUGGCGGGGGAGCACCACAAGGGGUGAAGCCUGCGGUUUAAUUGGAGUCAACGCCAGAAAUCUUACCCGGAGAGACAGCAGGAUGAAGGUCAAGCUGAAGACUUUACCAGACAAGCUGAGAAGUGGUGCAUGGCCGUCGCCAGCUCGUGCCGUGAGGUGUCCUGUUAAGUCAGGUAACGAGCGAGAUCCUUGCCUCUAGUUGCCACCAUUACUCUCAGGAGUAGUGGGGCGAAUUAGCGGGACUGCCGUAGUUAAUACGGAGGAAGGAGAGGGCCACGGCAGGUCAGUAUGCCCCGAA